GACGUAGGGCGCGAGCGUUGUCCGGAUUUAUUGGGCGUAAAGAGCUCGUAGGCGGUUUGUCGCGUCUGGUGUGAAAACUCGAGGCUCAACCUCGAGCUUGCAUCGGGUACGGGCAGACUAGAGUGCGGUAGGGGAGACUGGAAUUCCUGGUGUAGCGGUGGAAUGCGCAGAUAUCAGGAGGAACACCGAUGGCGAAGGCAGGUCUCUGGGCCGCAACUGACGCUGAGGAGCGAAAGCAUGGGGAGCGAACAGG
rnacentral:rRNA from 1 species